rnacentral:rRNA from 1 species
UACGUAGGGUGCGAGCGUUAAUCGGAAUUACUGGGCGUAAAGGGUGCGCAGGCGGUUAUGCAAGUCAGGCGUGAAAGCCCCGGGCUUAACCUGGGAAUGGCGCUUGAAACUACAGGACUGGAGUAUGGCAGAGGGAGGUGGAAUUCCACGUGUAGCGGUGAAAUGCGUAGAGAUGUGGAGGAACACCGAUGGCGAAGGCAGCCUCCUGGGCCAAUACUGACGCUCAUGCACGAAAGCGUGGGGAGCAAACAGG